UCUGCCUCCUUCUGUCCUCUCUGGUCUUAAUGCGAGAACCUUAAUUGACUCAGAGCGCCUGUAUCUGCUCCAUCUGCCUGAUGCACGAACACUGUUGCUGCUGCUGCUCAACAGAGAGCUUCGAGUUAUGUUGCAAGUUCUGAGAGUGUGAUCAAGUCAACCUAGAUCAAGACAAGACAGGCAGAGAUCUUCUGGCAGCAAUAGAAAAGCAGAAAGAUAUCAGUGGAGAGUAAAUGAAAAUAGCCACAUGCAAAGAAAAGGCAUCAACAAAGCCAGGAAUCUUAGUGGGAAUAGUCCAAAAUCUUCCAUACAUCAGGUGCUUCAGACUAACAAAACAUCCCAGUUAGGUUAAACAUGCAUAAACAAAUCUUUUUCUUUUUUUUUGUAUAGACCUGCUUCAGUGUGUUUCAUUUGUCAAGGUACACAUGUGAUCUUGGUGCUUACUUAGAAAGGAGCACAGAGAAAUUAAGAAACUUGUGUAGAAUCUCAUAGUAGAAUUUAGAACUAGUUUGAAGAUGUUUAGUUACUAGAGUCCUAACUCUCUAAAUAUGAGAUUAAAUCAAUCGCACAAAUAUUAAUAUCACAAUGCACAACAAAACAUAUGUUCACUAUGCACACAAGAGGCAGUAGUAAUCUCAUUCAGAGGACUGUGAAGACCAGGAAAAAUGUUGUCAUUGCUGGAAAUUGAGCCUAUAUGGGCUAAUAAAAUAUUAUGCUCAGUUUUAUUGACAGUAAACUCAGAAUUAGUACAGUAGCAGGCAAAGAGAUCAAGGAGGAGCAAAGCAAAAAGAGGAAAAGAGAAAUGACAUGUAUGGAGAGAAAACAGUUUGAAGCUCUUACAUUUUCCCAUUGUAAUCCCAAGAAUUCUUUGUCUACAUUCCUUUUUUGUUUUAUUGGUUAAGAAAAAGGAGGCGAUUUAUUCUCAAAGAUAAGUUUAGACAGAAAGAAUGAGGCAGAAAAACAUUUCGUUUUUUUAUUAUUCAAAGUGAGUCUUGCACCCUAAGCAUUAGACAUCCCUUUUGCAUGUUAGAUAGAAGCCAGAACAACAUUUUUAACAGUUUCAAUUUACUGAACAUCCGCCUAAUUGUGUUUUAUGAGGUAUGGCAACAAAAUAGCAGCAGAGUUUAACAAGGCAAUAAUGUUUAUCAAGAACUGGCCAAGUUAAAAAGCAAGUAUGUGUUCUUUGAUCAAAAGAAAAAGAAGGACAGAAAGAUUGAGAGAGAGGGGCCUGUUGUGACCCAUCCGUUUCUGGGUGUAAUUCUUGAACACAGGAAGCUGUAGUGACAGAUACGGCAUGUUUUCCACAGCAACGUGUGGCUCUGUGGAAGGAUGGAUAUGAUCAUUGGAGGGCAGAGAGUCCUGUUGUUAACUAUAUUAGCUGAAAAACAAGGAUGAUAGCUGAGCUCUGAUUCACCAGCAUUCUGACACAGGCAGAAGCAAAAUGAAGGCAGAAAACAAAUCAAUAACAUUUAGUUUUCCCUGAGGACGUCAGGUAAAUUUGUGCACAGACUUAUGUUCACAGACUUACUUUGUGAUCAUAAUCCUGAAUUGACACAUUUUUUUAUAAUGUUAGAAUUACAUCUCAUGCAUCAAGCUCAUGCACCCACACCCAGUAAAAAACUAGAGAUCCCAUCCAUCUGAACCAGUACAAGAAUUGCAUAAGACAUCCAUUAAAAACAAAUGUGUUUUUCAAAAAGAGCAGACUCUCUUGUUUUCCUGUUCUUCGUCUUUGUGUUUUCAUAGGUUGAUGUUCACGGCCUUAGAGGUUCAAGUCGUAUCAUUCGGGGACGCUGUAUCGACAACCAUCGAGAGACAGAAUAACAAGAUGAUUCUUCUAAUAGACUAUUUCACAAACAGAGACAUUCUGAUCUACAGAGGUCAAAUUUAGGCUACAUUAAACCAGCAAGAAUUAGUGCUCAGUUGUUCACAUCAUCUUUUUUUAAAUGUGGCAAAUAUUAGAUUGCUGUGAGAAUUGAUCAUGGUCCUGAAAUGACCCGCAUGUGCAAAAGAACGAUAAUGAGACGCCAUGACUGUCAUACGGAAGUAAACACGGGGGCCACUGAUGUAAGCAUUUACAUGUUCAUUUUUUAAGGUGUUGUGGCAUGGAAGCCAGCGGAUUUGUGAGCAGGUGAUAAAGUGGACGAAGAUGAAGAGAGAGCAAAGUUUUUGAAUAUUUAGCUCGUAUAGAGCUGUAACUGUAAUACUUAUGAGUUUAACACCUCACUGCCUCUCCACCGACUAUCUCUGCAACUGUAUAUCAUAUUCACAGCGUGAUCAAAGAUCUACCGGUAUGUAAAAUCUUUGGAGUGACUCCCGUCAGUGCCAAAUCAUGACGAACAUUGAUCUAGAAUGACGUAAAUUCAGACUGAUGCCAUAUUGCAAAACAUCUGACCUGUUUUAGAUUUAGGACCACAUAUGGAAGUGGUCCAAAUCAGAAUCAAAAAGGUCAGAUUCCAUGAGGUUUGUGCUCUUCACACUGCAUGAAAAAUAAAAUUAUCUGAGUCACAUAUCAGCAAAAAAAAUUCGAUUCGGGCCACAUUUUCCUGCAGCCUUAACCUAACCUUAGACACUUUAAUAAGUUGCUGUCACAAGACAAAACUAUAUUAGUAGGAGGUUUUAUGGCCAUUUAAUACUUUUUAGAGACAGAAGCUCAUUUUGACAUCAGUUCAGCUCUGAAUUUAGUUUAUAGGUAUGCCAAACCUCUGCAUUUAUCUCAGUCCUUUUCAUUUUGCCUAUUUUAUGCAUAUCAUUGAUCUAGCCUGAUCUAGCCAUCACUAUUUGGCCUUUGUCAAAGUCAUUCAGAUCUUUUCACUUGCCUAUUUUUCCUGCUUCCAACACCUGAAAUUCAAGAACUGACUGUUCACUUUCUGCCUAAUAUAUUCCACACAUUUACAUGUUCCAUUGUAACCAUAUAAUCAAUGUUCACU